CAGAUAUUCAGAUAGUAAUAUAAUAAUAAUUCCAUGAAAAUGAUAUGAGAACCUGAGAAACCAGCAUCCUUUAUUGUUUGUAACUUCAGCAUUUUCUCUUGCUAGGUUUAUGUGUCUUAUGACUAUGGGAAGACGUUUAAGAAGAUAUCGGAGAAAUUCAACUUUGGUCCAGGAAAUACUAGCCAAGCCGUCAUUGCUCAGUUCUAUCACAGCCCGGCUGACAACAAAAGGUAUAUUUUCGUUGAUGCCUACACACAAUACCUUUGGCUCACGACUGACUUUUGCAAGACCAUCCAGGGCUUCUCGAUCCCCUUCAAAGUCUCAGACCUCCUUUUGCACAGCCGCUUCCCGAACCUCGUCUUGGGCUUCGAUAAGUCCCAUCCCAACAAACAGCUCUGGAAAUCGGACGAUUUUGGGCAGACGUGGAUCAUGAUUCACGAACACGUGAAAUCGUUUACAUGGGGAAUCGAACCAUACGACAAGCCGAAUGCGGUCUACAUUGAGCGGCACGAACCUACAAGAUCCUCAACUAUCCUUCGCAGCACCGAUUUCUUUCAAACCAGGGAGAACAAAGAGAUCCUUCUGGAGGAGGUGGAGGACUUCCAGCUCAGAGAGAAAUAUCUAUUUGCCACCAAGUCUGUGGUAAGGAACCCACCCAUCAAAACCCUGGUUUUAAAUUAAGCUUUUAGUACAGCUCUCUAGCUGUCAUUGGACUGCAACAUCCAUAAUUCUUCAACAUUAGCUAGGGUUUCUAGGACUUAAAAGCUCAUCAUCAUCUGGAAAGCCGUAAGUUGUCUUGCUUUAAGUUAAGUUGGGAAAAUAGGGAUUAUUUUACUCUCUCUCUAUAUAUAUAUAUUAUAGUCGAUGACCAGCAACAGAAAAUGUACAAGCAUCAGAAUAGCGUAGAAACAUAUGCAAUUAGAUAUUAAGAAACACAGUGAAGAACAAGGUUAAAACACAGUAUUGAAUGUGGU
rnacentral:lncRNA from 11 species